UAUUACCCUAAAACACAUACAAAUAGUAAUUAAAAAGUUUCUCCAUCUCUGUUGUUUUUAGAUGCAUCUGGCAAGAUACCACACUGAAUCCUUAUCAUUUUAUAUCUCGGUUUAAUUAAGCGUAUCUUCGACACAGAACUGCAAAGAAAUCCAUUUUGUUUCUGCAAGCCUCCCAGCUAACGGACGGAGAUUCUUUACCAUGAAGUCAAUUAUGCUCUUGGCCCUGCUUCUGAUGGCGACUAUGAGCGGCGUUGAGGGAAGAUAUAAAGGUCUGGCCUGCUACAAAUGUGAUUACAUCAUGAAUUUCUGCACCUUCCGCUGUCGUCAUCAGCCCAGCGUGGCCCACAGUUACUAUUGUAAUGACUUCUGUGACCGCAGGAACGAGCGGUGUUACCUCGAGUGUGUGGAGGACCGCUACGGACACGCCUCCUGAGGGCCGCCAUCAACAGUCGAGUGACGUCAUUAUGCUAAAAGUCGAACAGAGCAAGAUGUUGGUGUCUUGAGUGACAUUAAUGUACAAGUAAUAAAACGUCUUUAUAUCAA